UACGUAGGGGGCAAGCGUUGUCCGGAAUUAUUGGGCGUAAAGAGCGCGUAGGCGGCCCGGUAAGUCCGUUGUGAAAGUCCAAGGCUCAACCUUCGAAUGCCGAUGGAUACUGUCGGGCUAGAGUCCGGAAGAGGCGAGUGGAAUUCCUGGUGUAGCGGUGGAAUGCGCAGAUAUCAGGAGGAACACCGAUAGCGAAGGCAGCUCGCUGGGACGGUACUGACGCUAAGGCGCGAAAGCGUGGGGAGCGAACAGG
rnacentral:rRNA from 1 species